rnacentral:rRNA from 1 species
AUGGCCCACUGUUUUUGGGAUAACUAUGAGGGUCACCAUAAGUACCAUCUAGCUAGCUGGGGUUUAUUGAAUCAGAAAAAACAGUAUGGUGGUAUGGGGAUUCCAAACCUUGCUGACAUGAACCUAUGCUUACUUGCUGCUUGGAGCUAUGCCUACUCCCCCUUCUGGAAAGGAGUCCUUUGGGCUGCUAAAGCAGCAAAGAUGGGCUACCAAUGGAAAGUGGGGAAUGGUAGGAAAACUAAAUUUUGGGAAGAUCACUGGUUUGGGUCCUGUAGCUUAUCCAUUCAAUUUUGGGAGUUGUAUAGUAUUGCCAAUGAGCAUAAUAAAACUAUUGGUGAGGUUUGGGAUGGAUCUAAUCUUAAGAUUUCUUUUAGAAGGUGUGUAGACAAUAGGCUACUUCAUCUUUGGUUUGAUUUGCUGAGUAUUGCACAGUCGGUUAUUCUGAAUGAUGAGGAUGAUGCUAUUAUUUGGAAACUUGAGCAUAAUGGGAGAUACUCAGUUAGAUCCCUGUAUGCCAUGGUAAACUUCAAAGGGAUUACCCCUGUGCAUGUUCCAAAAGUUUGGCAACUGCAUGUCCCACCUAACAUUCAUAUUUUUCUUUGGCUACUUGCUCAGGAUAAAUUGCUAGUUAGGAGCAACCUGAGCAAGAGGCAGCACUUAGAUGAUCUUAGUUGCUUAUUUUGUUGUGAAAGGGAGACUAGUGACCACCUUUUCUUUGAUUGUGUUGUUGCUGUCGAAGUGUGGAAAAAUAUUCAUAAGGUUGUGGGGUGUAUGCCCCAGCCUGGCUUUAAUUAUGUGGCUGACAAAUGGGAGAAACAUAAAUCCUUGCAAGCUGAAAAUAUGUUUGUCUCAGCUACUCUCUGGGUUAUCUGGAGAUGUAGAAUUGAUAUGUGCUUUAACAAUGCCCCAUGGUUGGGAGUGCAGGUGAUCCUGAGGAGAAUUGCAGGCUUCUGCAACCAAUGGAAGAUCCUGUGCAAAGAGGCUGCAAGAGAGCGCGUGGAGAAUCUAAUAUCAUCUCUGUGGGAGCUAUCCAGGAAGCCGCCUCUGCUGCUUUGGCCAGAGCCAGGGUGA